AUUAUCAGACUGAUCGUCGUCACAUGGAUGACGUGCAUUUUGUGGCCAAUAGAAAGCUGACACGUCAUUAGAUAUGCUAUGUAAGUGACCAUGAACUAGCCGAACUAAAAAUAUCAAGUAUACGACAGUAAAAUGCCAAACUGCUCAAUACCAAUUAAAAAUUUGUACUAGAUAGGUGACGAUACAAUGGGAUGUUUUUCUCGUCGACGAAAGUAAUCCGUACCACAGCUUGGACAUUUCUUUCGUUAAAAGUUUUAUGAUGUAUCGCUUGUACAGACACGUGGUUCGUUUGUGAGCUGACGGAGUGCCUAUCUUUUUUUGUUUUCUUGUACUUCGUUUCAACUUGAAUCGCGACUGUUUUGUGCGAUUCAGUCUCUUCACAGAUAACAACUUCAUCAUACCAUGAAAAUUGUGUGGGAACGGAGUUGUUUGUUAAAGUGAUCUUGUCAAUUGAUGGAUUUUUGUCGCCACGAUCGUUAAUUGGAUUCCCUUCUGAUAUUUUUGGGUGGCUUUCAGUUUUGCUUGGAACGGGAUCAAAUUCAUGUCCUAUUGAUGAACAAUGAGCUUCGUAUAGCUGAGAUGAAGAACAAAACUCAGUGGAAGCUUUUAAUGUUUGACUACAACAACUAAGAAUGCUGGGAGACAAUGCUUGAUGUGAACCAUCUGAAUCACUCGAAUAAUCAAAAGAUUGUUCAUAGCAAUAGUUAUCGUGGUUUGAACAUAGUCCGGAUUUAUCUAUGGUCAAUAGCCUUUCGUUGUCGUUAAAGAAUUUCUGGCUUUCGCUUUUCUUUACAUUCUUUUCUUCUUGUAUAUCCUUCGCAUUGUUGACUUUGUCCGACAUUGUCCUACAUUGUUGAUCGCUUUUACUUUCUGAGGCAUUUGUAGGAUUGCAAGUCUUCUCGGGGAAAUUUUUUCCAGAAAUUUUGUUGUUUUGUUUUGCAUUUUUAUUUUCUACCAUUAGCAUUAUUUGUGGAACUUUAUCACUGCAUUCUGAAGGAUUUUCAUUCUUUCUUGUGCAGUAAAAUACUUCAUUGUGCACAUUUCCUUUUUCUUUCAUCUUUACAUCACUUUGGAAGAUAUUCUUGCCUUCUUUAUCUUUUAACGAAGAAGCAAAAGAAGGUUCACAAGAAGCGGCCACCUGCUUUUCUUUCAUUUCUUGAAGAGUAAAGGAUUUUCUGUCUCUGGUUGUAUUUGAAAAGUGGGAGGAGACGAGUAACAGCUGUUGUUGUUGCAGUGAUGAAGUUCAAGGUAUUUUGAAAAACAUAAGGGUGUUUCCUGUGAAAACUGUGGGUGCAUUAUGGUUUGAGGCGGGUAAAAUUCAUCAGGUUGAGUCUGUUUACCAACUGCGUAUGCCUGGGCAGUUAUCGAAGUAUUUUGCUGAAAUUGUUGUUCCAAACAUUUGGUUUCAUUCAUGUCUAUCGCUUCAUGUUGAUUAGGGUUAGUCAUGUAGCCCUCAGUCAUAUCGUCCGAUGUUGUUUCUAUAGAGAUGUACCGUGGUUCUUCCGUAGUAGGCCACGAGGAUGAUAUCACAUCAUCACGCACACUGCACGUAGAUUGAGAAAAAUCUUUUGGCAAAUAACAGUUGUCGAAGUAGCUGUAUAAGCACGAAUUAUUUAACUGAUUUUCAUAUUGAAAACAUCUUGAAUUUUCAUUGUUAUCAAACACAGUCUCAGACAAGACUGGAAUUUCCGUUUUUGAAAUAUUAUUAGAGUGAUAACACAUAUUAGGUACGAAACAAAACUGGUCUUGGUUUGCGAUAUCUUGGUAAAAGCAAUCAUCGCCGUUUUCCGUUUGAGGAAAGAUAUUUAAUCGGCAUUCAGAAAAUUGACUGGCAUUGCUGAAUGUUUGCGAUUCAUCGAUGCAGCCAUUUGUAUCAUGUGGUUCAUUUAUAAGGAAACGUGAAUCGAGAAAAUAUGAAAAUUCAUAAGUGGCAUUUCGAUCUAUCGAUGAUUCCGAAUUUCCAUAACCAGCAUUCAUACUUAAAAUUUGUCCUCUUUUAUCAAAGAAAUUGCUUUUGCUCGCAGCAGUCGGAAUUAAAUUGCUUUUAAGAAUGCCAUUAUGGGGGAGAUCUUGUUGCAAUUUUGGCGUCUGUAGUUCCAGUGUAGAACACUCGACAUUGUUGAAAUUAGGUGGAAAUGCGUUGUAAACGUGGUUACCAGUGGAUUGGUAACUAGCUGUUUCGGAAACCAUUGACUGAAAACGUCUGUUCGUCCGCCGCAUGGCAUUUGAAUACGUCACUUUCGAAGGAUCUUCAGUUCCCCUUGCUUGGUGUGGGUGUAAAAGACAAGAGGAUACAUUGAAUGUCGUAAACAUACUAUUGUCAGUGAAUGCACAUGGAUUUAAACUAUUCUGAUGAAUAGUAUUUGAUGUAGACGAUGGCUCUUUCUUGCAGAAACCAACGUUAUUUUUUGCUGUAUUAAAAUCAAUAUUGCAUUUUCGAGUCUCUUCCGCACUGCAAGAAUAAAUUGUAUGUUCAUUAUAAUAAACCGAACUGUUUGUUGAAUUGGGCAAUUGAUAAGAUGAAUGCAAACUUGAAUGAUGCACAUUGCUGUCUUUUUCCAAACAUGAUGUUCUUUGGUUUUUCAAAUAACCUGCAAAGUUGAUUGGUUCCAAGAUAAAACUAGACAAUUAAUUAUAUUCACUUCACUUUGUUAAAAUAAGUUAUGUUGGUGGCGAUUUUCUGGGUAAUUAGAACAGGGAAAUGAAACGAUUAUAUCGAUGUAAGGAUUUUUACCUUUGA